GGGGUUCUGGCUCAGUGGUAGAGCACUUGCCUAGCAUGAGGGAGGCCUGGGUUCAAUCCCCAGCACCA
rnacentral:tRNA from 1 species